UGGGGAAUAUUGGACAAUGGGCGCAAGCCUGAUCCAGCAAUGCCGCGUGUGUGAAGAAGGCCUGCGGGUUGUAAAGCACUUUCGGUGGGGAGGAAGGCCUACGUUUUAAUAGAGCGUAGGAUUGACGUUACCCACAGAAGAAGCACCGGCUAACUCUGUGCCAGCAGCCGCGGUAAUACAGAGGGUGCGAGCGUUAAUCGGAAUUACUGGGCGUAAAGGGUGCGUAGGUGGUUAGUUAAGUUAGAUGUGAAAUCCCUGGGCUUAACCUAGGAAUGGCAUUUAAGACUGAUUGGCUAGAGUUUGGUAGAGGGAAGUGGAAUUUCCGGUGUAGCGGUGAAAUGCGUAGAUAUCGGAAGGAACAUCAGUGGCGAAGGCGACUUCCUGGACCGAUACUGACACUGAGGCACGAAAGCGUGGGGAGCGAACAGGAUUAGAUACCCCGGUAGUCC
rnacentral:rRNA from 1 species